UCCCUCCUCCCCCCCAUAUUCGCUCUCUUGAUGGAGGAACCCAGCUAAGAUGAUUCUGGGUUGGUGAACUAUGUAAGCUUAAAGGAAUAGGUGAUUUGGGGGUCAUGUUUUCCAUUUGGCUUAAAAUGUUGUUUGAUUGAUUUAUUUAUUUCUGGGCACAGAAUGCGCUCCGUUCUCUUCGGUUCCAUCCACAUGCCAAAGUGGCAGGCUUGGCUCACAGGGAAAACCACCGAUUGUUACCAGUUCUGGCCCACAAAUAGCCUGGAAAAGAUCCCCUCUCCACCUGGACAAAUUCCCCCGACAGUGGGCGUGACCAACACCUCAUCACAGGGAUUUAGGGGGCCCCAGGUACUCCGACAAUCACAAAGGAGUUCUAGAGGUGGGGAGACAGCCAAGUCCUGAGCACCGGCCAAACUUCCCUGCCAUGCUGGCUCUAUUUAACACAAGGGAUAUUAUUGGUUGGGAGAGGAGACCCAAGAAAAUCUACCCCCUCCCUGUAAGUUAAUAGGUUUCUUUAGAAAAUGAUCUAAUGAGCAACACCUGGCCUAAGCCUUUCAGCCAAAACCAAUCCCAUCCAUUAGCAAGGAUGGGCUUGAUCACUCCCUUGGCCCCUUCCCCACAAAGGCACCCAGAAUCAAGGAAGGAACGAGGCUCUGGUGAAAGAUCUAUGGCUGAAAUAAGCACUCAAAAACCCUUGUUGCGUCCGGGCCGAAAUGGCUGCUCGGGGACGUGAUGAGGGAUAUUUUAUCAUGAUGGAGUCUCUAGUACCAGCAGCCCUUGCCUCGGAGGACCCUCUCCCUGCUCCCGCAAAAGGGCAGACACAGCGAGAGCUCCUCUGCAGCCAGCUCGGCCCGGUAAUGAUCUAUCUCCCCUAAUGGCACCUUCUGUGGUUCCAUAUGCAGUGUUCCAGCUUCCCCCCGGCCCCACUGAGAACCCGGGGGCCUCUGGAAGAUGUAAUACACACCCGAGGACAUUUGGAAGAUGCACUACACGGGAAGGGUGUUUUCCAUUUGAUUUACCUUCCACCUCCUACAAGGAGCUGAUGGCUGUUACUGCACCGCCUCCCAGGCCCAGCAGGCCCCGGGAGAAAGCCGAGAGGAGCCUAAAUAACGCUCAUCAAUUACCAAUCAAGCACUGACUGGCUAUUACAUGGAUGAUUGUAACGGGCUCCGCUGAAGACUCCACAAUCAUAGGAGAGAGAACGUGGGGCAGAAAUCAGGCAAAACGUCCCUGGGCAGGCCGAAGGCGAAACAGGCGAAAAGCCGCCGCCCGCCCGACAAUUAGUCAAAAUCCGCACUCCCUUUAUACUUCUACCAUGAGAAUCAUUGUGGGCCGGCUUAAGUAAGACCCAGAUUCUGAUUCCAGUUUGAGAGAAUAUUAAUCGAGCCUGAGCCCCUCCUGCCAACUGCUAUAUGUUUGAUAUUCAAAUAUACUUACAGGAAUUCAGAUACAUUAUCAUUCACUGGCAGGCACAGAUAACUAAUGAAAACAGAAGAACUAAGUUGAAACAGAGUUCACAAUGGUAAAGAGAGCUCUAAUUUGUAAACUUGCUAAUUGUUUUUCUUUGGUGUGGCUUUGGGCUGCCCAGCCAUCACAACUGAUUUGUUAAUCCUCCAUGUAAAAAUUUUUAACUAAUUAAGGAAAGAUUUCCUCUAAGUCAGAGUUUCUUUACCUGAGGUCCUAUGUUUGUUUUUAAUAUGUUGAUACCUGUAUAAUUUAUUUCCUUUGUAUUUUAUUUUAUGCAUUUAAUAAUAUUAUGAUAAUAUGGCAAUAUAAUAAUUAUAAUAAUAUUAAGUAAACUGAUUUGUCUCCUUUUUAAAAAAAUUUACUAAGAAAUUUUUUAAACUAAGAAACUAAUUAAGAAAUUUAACUAAUUAAGAAAAGAUUUCCUCUAAAUCAGAGAUUCUUAAUCUGAGGUCUUUGAAUUUAUGUUUGUUCUUAAUAUGUUGAUAACUUUAUUUCAGUGUAAUUUAUUUCCUUUGUACUUUAUGUAUUUAAUAUGAUUAUGAUAAUAUGGCAAUAUAAUAAUUUUAAUAAUAUUAAUAAUAUCCAUAUGUUUUACUAGACUGUCAAAGAAGUCCAUGG
ensembl:lncRNA